AUGUCCAUCUCACUCUGCUCGGAGUUUAUCCCCCUGCCCCAACAAUGGCAGCUCCUCCUCCUCCUGACACUCGUAUCCCUCGUGCUCUUGAUCAGGAGACUGAGCAACAAAGGGCUCAAGCUACCGCCAGGCCCAUCCCGGAUUCCGAUCCUGGGGAACCUGCACCAGCUGGGCGUGCUGCCGCACCGGAGCUUACGGGAUCUUGCACGGAAGCAUGGGCCGGUAAUGCAGCUGCAGCUCGGCACCGUGCGGACGGUGGUGGUGUCGUCGGCUGAGGCGGCGCGCGAGGUGAUGAAGACGCACGACGAGGACUGCUGCACCCGGCCCGUGUCCCCCGGGAUGAAGCGGCUGUUCUACGACCUCAAGAACGUCGGCUUUGCGCCAUACGGUGCCUACUGGCAUGCCAUGCGCAAGUUCUUCGUGGUCGAGCUCUUCGGUGUGCGCCAUGUCGAGGCAGCAUGGCAUGCACGCCAGCAUCAGGUGGAGAAACUGAUGAGCACCUUGAGCAGCCUGGCCGGAGAGCCGGUAGCGCUCAAGGAGCACAUCUUAAGCCUGGCUGAUGGCAUCAUCGGCAUGCUUGGAUUUGGCGACAUGUACAAUAGUGACAAGUUCCCACACCACAAGAACUUGGAGCACGUGCUUGAGGAGGCCAUAUACAUGCAGGCCAGCUUUUCCGCCGAGGACUAUUUCCCCAACAUCGUCGGCCGCCUAGUCGACCAAAUCACCGGCCUCGCCUCUCGUCGUGAGCGGAUCUUCAGGCAGCUUGAUACAUUCUUCGAGGUCAUCAUUGAGCAGCAUCUUGACCCUCAGCGUGUCAAGCCUCGGAACGAUGACCUCAUUGACCGGCUCAUCGAUCUAUGGAAGGAAAACAGUGGCACCCUCAACAUUACAAGAGACCAUGUCAAGGGCAACAUAUUUGGCACGUUCAUUGGUGGCUCGGACACGACCUCAGCGACGAUUCUAUGGGCGAUGGCAGAGCUGACCCGGAAUCCCCGACUACUGGAGAGGGCGCAAGACGAGAUGAGGGCCGUGGUGGGAGGCAACGAGAGGGUGCGACCAGAUGAUCUGGCCAAGCUGGUCUACCUCAAGCUGGUGGUGGAGACCCUACGGCUGCACCCACCAGCGACGAUGCUACUGCCGAGGGAGGCCAUGCGGGACAUCCAGAUUGGAGGCUAUGACGUGUUGGCCAAGACGCGGAUCUAUGUGAACGUGUGGGCCAUUGGUAGGGACCCGGCAAACUGGCCAGACGAGCCGGAAGAGUUCAAACCAGAGAGGUUGGAGACGAGCAAGAUAGACUUCAAAGGAGGGCAUUUCGAGCUAACUCCAUUCGGCGCAUGGCAGCGGAUAUGCCCCGCACUGCCUAUGAGCACGGCCACCGUGGAGUUCACACUGGCCAACCUGCUAUAUAGCUUCGAGUGGGUGCUUCCGGAGGGGAUCGUAGUGAACAUGGAGGAGGAAGGCAAGCUUAUCCCCUUCCUAAAGACACCGCUCUUGCUGGUGCCCACCCCAUACCGGCACAUCUAA
rnacentral:rRNA from 1 species